GCUCGCUUAACUCAGUUGGUUAGAGUGCCGUACUAAUAAUGCGGACGUCAGAGGUUCGAGCCCUCUAGUGAGCA